UACGUAGGGUGCGAGCGUUAAUCGGAAUUACUGGGCGUAAAGGGCUCGUAGGUGGCCAACUAAGUCAGACGUGAAAUCCCUCGGCUUAACCGGGGAACUGCGUCUGAUACUGGAUGGCUUGAGUUUGGGAGAGGGAUGCGGAAUUCCAGGUGUAGCGGUGAAAUGCGUAGAUAUCUGGAGGAACACCGGUGGCGAAGGCGGCUAUCUGGACCGGUACUGACGCUGAUACGCGAAAGCCAGGGGAGCAAACGGG
rnacentral:rRNA from 1 species